AAACGAUGCCAACUAGCAAUCCGCCUGAGUUGUAUUUUUGACUCGGCGGGCAGCUCCGGGAAACCUAAGUACGGUUCCGGGGGAAGUAUGGUUGCAAAGCUGAAACUUAAAGGAAUUGACGGAAGGGCACCACCAGGAGUGGAGCCUGCGGCUUAAUUUGACUCAACACGGGAAAACUUACCCGGCCCGGACACUGAAAGGAUUGACAGAUUGAUAGCUCUUUCUUGAUUCGGUGGAUGGUGGUGCAUGGCCGUUCUUAGUUGGUGGAGCGAUCUGUCUGGUUAAUUCCGAUAACGAACGAGGCUCUAGCCUAAUAAUGCCGGAAGUCGCAGCCAUUACGCUUCCUUCUAAGGGACAGGGCUUCAGACCAAAACAAGCAUAAAGGUGGGAUCCCUUAUUUCCGGGCCGACGGGCAAAUAAGAAAAAAAACGGGGGGGGUCCCCGGGGGGGAGAAAAAAGGGGGAAAACUUAAACUUCUUCAUGAAAGGGGGAUAGUGGGCGUGGGCAUUUUGUUUCUCCCUCUCUACGAAGGAAAAUUCCACCUCAAACCGCGUCCUCUCACCUAGGGGGUGGGAUUAAGUUCCCCUCGCGCCUCUUGUAUACAAAAGGGGGGUGGGUUUUUAAGAAUUGGAUUGAGAUUAAAUGGAGGGCCUUCUGAAUUGAGCGCCUCCUGUGGGUCGUUUGUGUUGCGAGAAAAGUUCUCAAAAGAUAAGCCCUACCUCGAUCUAUUUUUAAGGAAGAUAAAAAUUCGUAAACAAGGUUUUCCGUUAGUGGAACCUGCCGAAAGAAUCAA
rnacentral:rRNA from 1 species